rnacentral:rRNA from 1 species
UACAGAGGGUGCGAGCGUUAAUCGGAAUUACUGGGCGUAAAGCGCACGUAGGUGGCUAAUUAAGUCGAUUGUGAAAUACCUGGGCUUAACCUGGGAACUGCAGUCGAUACUGAUUGGCUAGAGUGUAGUAGAGGGAAGUGGAAUUUCCGGUGUAGCGGUGAAAUGCGUAGAUAUCGGAAGGAACACCAGUGGCGAAGGCGACUUCCUGGACUAACACUGACACUGAGGUGCGAAAGCGUGGGUAGCGAACAGG